rnacentral:misc_RNA from 1 species
CUCAGAUUCAGGCCGAUUGCACCUAAACCGGCCAGAAGUGCUCCAGAUUCUGAUAUCUCUGGUUUGAACAACAAGAACCUAUUGCUUUCCAAGGGAAGAACCAGAAGAAAGUACGUUAGGGCUCGUAAGGACAACAGAUUGAUCAAAAGAAACCAAAAAGUUUCAUCAUCAGAGGAAGGAAAUAAAGAAAACGAAAGAGACCGUGUAGGUUUUGACAAGGUCGUUACUCUGCAAUUGUUGCCGGAGAGAAGCGAUCAAUCAAAGACCUCGCCAGAAAGAGGAAGAUCUUGGUGCAAUGUCGAUCUCACAAAAAAGUUAUUUCAUGAUCCAGAGAACAAUAAUCAAGCGGCAUCGAUGCUGCUCAAGUUGAAGCAGCCGGUUAUCGACGGAGCAGAUCCGACGGUGGCGAUGGUUCCUGAAACUAAAAAGAAAGAGGUAGUGGAAUCGUGGGUGAUAGUGGAGAGCGUGACAGACACAAACACUUGUAUGGAAGGUCGAGGGUUAGGGUGUACGGACAUUGAGAGAGUGAAGAAUCUGGAAGAGGACACGCGUCCAGGGUUUAUAUCGGACGGUUCAAACACAGUGCGAUGGGUGAAUGGGGCUUAUAAGAGGAUGGUGUCAGCGAUGGAGGAAGAAAAGGAGGGGCUGUCCGUGGAAAUAAUGGUGUGGUUGGUGAAGAAAGAAAAGUUGGUUCCAUACAUGUACUCUUCUGCAUUUACGUGCUGGGUAAGAUUGCAGUACUCGUGGAAGGAGGAGAAGUGGUCGUCGCAGAUGGUGCCAUGUGAUCUGUGGCGAAUGGACUGCGGAGGCUUUGCAUGGAGACUGGACGUUCAAGCUGCUUUGGGUUUGGGCCGGUGAAAGAUUCACAAGAAGCAUCCACAUCAAACACCAACAACUUAAGGCUAAAGCUAUCAGUAGACUUUUGCUCAAAUUCAAGGAGAAAGGGUUGAAAUUUGAAGUCUUCUAGAGUACAUGUAUUGGAUAAAGAUGCUUCUCAUGGCAAGAAGAUGAAGCUAAUAGGGAAUAACACCAUGAUAUUUGAGACCAUUAUGUUGGAGGUCUAAUUGGAAGUUGUGCAAAUUCCCAAGAGGGAAAUUUGAAAUCCAAAAAUAAGGGAUUCAAGACAAGGGUUGGACACUCCUGCUUGGAGACAAAAAUACAUUGCACAUUUUGUGGAAAAUUGGUAUGCUAUAUUAUUAUAAACAUUGCCUGUGUUCUAUCUCUGUGCAUGAUCAUAUGCUUUGUAAUUUUUAUGUGCAGCAGCCGGCAGGACCUUUCCAAUAAAAUUUUUAUUUUUG